rnacentral:tRNA from 1 species
GCACGAGUAGCUCAGCGCCAGAGCACCGGCCUUGUAAGCCGGCCGCCGGGGGCUAAAAUCCCCCCUUCUGCC